rnacentral:rRNA from 1 species
UCCGAAGGGGGCUAUCGUUGUUCGGAAUUACUGGGCGUAAAGCGCACGUAGGCGGAUUAGUAAGUCAGGGGUGAAAUCCCGGGGCUCAACAUCGGAACUGCCUUUGAUACUGCUGAUCUCGAGUCCGGAAGAGGUGAGUGGAAUUCCUAGUGUAGAGGUGAAAUUCGUAGAUAUUAGGAAGAACACCAGUGGCGAAGGCGGCUCACUGGUCCGGUACUGACGCUGAGGUGCGAAAGCGUGGGGAGAAAACAGG